GAUGAACGCUGGCGGCGUGCCUAAUACAUGCAAGUCGCGCGAAUGGAUUAAGAGCUUGCUCUUAUGAAGUUAGCGGCGGACGGGUGAGUAACACGUGGGUAACCUGCCCAUAAGACUGGGAUAACUCCGGGAAAGCGGGGCUAAUACCGGAUAGCAUUUUGAACCGCAUGGUUCGAAAAUGAAAGGAGGCUUCGGCUGCCACGUAUGGAUGGACGCGCGUCGCAUUUGCUAGUUGGUGAGGUAACGGCUCACCAAGGCAACGCUGCGUAGCCGACCUGAGAGGGUGAUCGGCCACACUGGGACUGAGACACGGCCCAGACUCCUACGGGAGGCAGCAGUAGGGAAUCUUCCGCAAUGGACGAAAGUCUGACGGAGCAACGCCGCGUGAGUGAUGAAGGCUUUCGGGUCGUAAAACUCUGUUGUUAGGGAAGAACAAGUGCUAGUUGAAUAAGCUGGCACCUUGACGGUACCUAACCAGAAAGCCACGGCUAACUACGUGCCAGCAGCCGCGGUAA
rnacentral:rRNA from 1 species